AAAAAUAUAAAAAAUAGUAAAUAUGUUAUAAAUAUUUCGUCCUUCUUUAGCGGUGGGGGCACAUUGCCAUAUUAGUGGCAAACACGUGGGGAUGUCUAAAA